rnacentral:rRNA from 1 species
UUUAAAUAGCCGCGGUAAUUUGACUGUGCAAAGGUAGCAUAAUCAUUUGCCUCAUAAUUGGGGGCUAGUAUGAAUGGGAUUACGAGAGAUAUGCUUUUUUUAAAAAUAUUUUAGAAAUUGGUUUUUUAGUGAAGAAACUAAAAUUGUUAAAUAGGACAAGAAGACCCUUUUGAUCUUUACUUUUUUAUUUUUUUUAAAUAGAAAAAGUUUGGUUGGGGCGACCGAGGAAAUUUUUAUCUUCCUUUAGAUAUGAUGAUCCAAAUAUUUUGAUUUUAAGAAUAAGUUACCAAAGGGAUAACAGCGUAAUUUUUUUUGUGAGUUCUUAUUAAAAAAGAAGAUUGCGACCUCGAUGUUGACUUAUAGUUUCCCUUAGGUGUAGCCGCUUAGAGGGUGGGUCUGUUCGACCCUUAAUACUUUACGUGAGUUGAGUUCAGACCGGUGUGA